UGGGGGAUAUUGCACAAUGGGCGAAAGCCUGAUGCAGCGACGCCGCGUGGGGGAUGAAGGCCUUCGGGUUGUAAACUUCUUUUGCUCUGAACAAGGCAUGCUAAUGGGUGUGUUGAGUGUAGGGGUUGAUUAGCGCCGGCUAACUACGUGCCGGCAGCCGCGGUAAUACGUAGGGCGCGAGCGUUGUCCGGAAUUAUUGGGCGUAAAGGGCUUGUAGGUGGCUGGUUGCGUCUGUCGUGAAAGCUCAUGGCUUAACUGUGGGUUUGCGGUGGGUACGGGCUGGCUUGAGUGCAGUAGGGGAGGCUGGAAUUCCUGGUGUAGCGGUGGAAUGCGCAGAUAUCAGGAGGAAUACCGGUGGCGAAGGCGGGUCUCUGGGCUGUUACUGACACUGAGGAGCGAAAGCAUGGGGAGCGAACAGG
rnacentral:rRNA from 1 species